rnacentral:rRNA from 1 species
UACAGAGGUCUCAAGCGUUGUUCGGAUUCAUUGGGCGUAAAGGGUGCGUAGGCGGCGCGGUAAGUCGGGUGUGAAAGCCCCGGGCUCAACCUGGGAAUUGCAUUCGAGACUGCAUUGCUGGAGUACGGAAGAGGAAGGCGGAAUUCCCGGUGUAGCGGUGAAAUGCGUAGAUAUCGGGAGGAACAUCAGUGGCGAAGGCGGCCUUCUGGUCCAGUACUGACACUCAAGUGCGAAAGCGUGGGGAGCAAACAGG